ACGAACGCUGGCGGCGUGCUUAACACAUGCCAGUCGAACGGUGAAGCGCCUUCCUUUUUGGUGGGUGUGGAUGAGUGGCGAACGGGUGAGUAACACGUGAGUAACCUGCCCCCUUCUUCUGGAUAACCGCAUGAAAGUGUGGCUAAUACGGGAUAUUCUGGGUCUGUCGCAUGAUGGGUCUGGGAAAGAUAUUGUUUCGGUGGGGGAUGGGCUCGCGGCCUAUCAGCUUGUUGGUGGGGUGAUGGCCUACCAAGGCGGUGACGGGUAGCCGGCCUGAGAGGGUGGACGGUCACACUGGGACUGAGACACGGCCCAGACUCCUACGGGAGGCAGCAGUGGGGAAUAUUGCACAAUGGGCGCAAGCCUGAUGCAGCGACGCCGCGUGAGGGAUGGAGGCCUUCGGGUUGUGAACCUCUUUCGCCAGUGAAGCAGGCCUGCCUCGUUUGUGGGUGGGUUGACGGUAGCUGGAUAAGAAGCGUCGGCUAACUACGUG
rnacentral:rRNA from 1 species